ensembl:lncRNA
GGGUGUGGCUGGAGACGUCACUUCCUUGCCCCGAGCGGGUAGAGCGUUAUGACGGUCCCCACGCCAGAGCAGCUGAUGCUGCGACGCGGUGACACUCAAGGAAUGACAUGUAAUUUCCAGUCUCGUCUUGCCUCAAGUCCUCUAAGUGGCCAGAGGUGACACUGAGUUUCCUAUUUUCUUGUCUCCCUUCUGAAUUUUGAGAUUACAUACACCAUGUUAAUAUGCAUGUUUUAUUUAUAUGGCCCAAGAGUGGAACCUAAGGCAGCUUCACACAUACUAGGCAAAUAUCCUAAGCACAUUCCUAGCUCCCAUGAUGCUUCUGUCCCAAUUCACAUUCCAGGAUCAACAGAUCACAAGCCGUGUCCUAGCACAUCUGACAUAGGUGGUCACUUUCCCUCCAUUUCUCCACAUACUUUUUUUUCCUAGUACACCGCUCCUCCUCCCUCUUUCGCUGGCACCUCUGCCCCUUGGGGUCCUGAUGUUGAUGUACCUCCAAGCUCAAUCUUUUGAGUCUUUAAAAUGAAAUGAAUUUUACGCAUUUGCUUGCUUAUAUGCAAUGGUAUGUGACUGGUGCCCCAAGUGGACAGAAGAGGGCUCCAAAUCCCCAAGAACUGGAGUUACAGGCUGCUCUAAGUGGCUGUGGGUCCUGGGUACAAAACUUAGGUUCUCUUCCAGAGCAAAUGACUUUUUAACAGUAGAGCCCUCUGGCCCCAAAUGCUUUCAUUUUGACUGUUUCUAAACAUUCGCUUUUCUCCAACUUCAAUACUCAAGCCUAUGCUACUGUUGAAGCUUAUCUGGGUCGUUUUAGAAAAUCUCCGUUUCUGGGGCUGGAGACAUGGCUCAGUGUGUAAGAAGAGCACAAGUCACUCUUACAGAGAAUGCAGGUUCAAUUCCCAGCACCCACACAGUGGCUCACAACAACCUGUAUCCCUAAUCCCAGGGAUUCUGAUGUAUUCUUCUGACCUCCAUGGGUAGCAGGCACACAUUCUACACAUACAAACAGGGAGGCAAAAUAUUUACAAACAUAAAGUAGUAAAUAAAUCUAAAAAAGUAUUU